CCUACGGGUGGCAGCAGUGAGGAAUAUUGGUCAAUGGGCGCGAGCCUGAACCAGCCAAGUCGCGUGAGGGAGGACGGCCCUACGGGGUGUAAACCUCUUUUGCCGGGGAGCAACGGGCGGCACGUGUGGCGCCACUGAGAGUACCCGGAGAAAAAGCAGCGGCGAACUCCGUGCCAGCAGCCGCGGUCAUAAGGAGGAUGCGCGCUUUAUCCGGAUUGAUUGGGUUAAAGGGGUGCGUAGGGGGAUCGUUAAGUCAGUGGUAAACUUGAGGGGCUCAACCCCUUCCCGCCAUUGAAACUGGCGCUCUUGAGUGGAAGAGCAGUAUGCGGAAUGC
rnacentral:rRNA from 1 species